UACGUAGGGGGCAAGCGUUGUCCGGAAUUAUUGGGCGUAAAGAGCGCGUAGGCGGUCCGAUAAGUCGUCUGUGAAAGUCCAGGGCUCAACCCUGGAAAGCCGGCCGAUACUGUCGGACUAGAGUCCGGAAGAGGCAAGUGGAAUUCCCGGUGUAGCGGUGAAAUGCGCAGAUAUCGGGAGGAACACCAAUGGCGAAGGCAGCUUGCUGGGACGGUACUGACGCUGAGGCGCGAAAGCGUGGGGAGCAAACAGG
rnacentral:rRNA from 1 species